rnacentral:lncRNA from 1 species
AAGCCCCAUGUUAAUACUGUUCAGCCCCCAACUCCUGGUUUCUUAGUAACUAAAACUUAUUGCAAGUAUUUUAAUUUCUUCUAAAUCAGAUUAUAUAUUAUGCACAUAUGAUAUUUGGAUAUUAAAAUUGAGGACUUUUUUCCCCCACAGAUGAGCAUUUGUUAAAUGUUUAUAUAUUCCUGAGAAUGAUACCAAUUAUUAUAUAUAUUAAGCAAACUCACAAGACUCAAGUGAACUUGGCUUUGCAGUGGAAUACCGUUUAUGUUUUUCAGUCUUAGGUAGCUUAUUAAAAUUGAUGUUUUCCUUUCAGUAAAUAUCUGGUGACAUUAAAAUUUGAUAAUUAAAAUCCAGAAGCACUCAAGAAAGAAUGCCUGCUUUUAGUUUCAUAAUAACAAUACUCCCACAAAGAAAGUUGAUGAAUGAUGUCUUUCAAGUGGCAGAGUUGUUAUUUAGUUAAAGAAAGCUCCUUUGGCAGUUUCUUACAAAACUAAAUUAAAGUUUGUUUAUAAAACAGACAAGCUACAGUGAUAAUCCUAUAGCCUCAAGAGUGCUUGGAAUCUAGCCCAAGAAGAGUCUUGUUUUUCAGUGAUUUAACAAAGAAGUGGAGUUUCCAAGAAUCCAAACAGAUUAGCAUUCAGUGCUAAUUGGAUUUAUUGUUUGAGCAUGAGUUUUUGUUUGAGGAUAUAUGUAUACAUCAAUGGUUCAUAGAUGUGCUGUAAACAGCAAGACACAUGAGAUCAUUACAAAAAGUGCCCUUUAUAGAUUAAAAUAAUAAAGAGAGAUUGAGGCUCUGUUGUUCAGUGGAAACAUUGAAGAACAAAUUAAACUGAAAGAUAAUUUAGAUGUUCUAUUGAAAUGUAUUACUUUGAACAUCUGAUCAUGUGAUUAUAAUAUACCACUUUCACAUAUAAUCACAAAUGUGUGACUGUAUUUGUUUCUUCGGGCUGCGGUAACGAAGUACCACAUACUGGGUGGCUUAAACGAGAGAAAUUUAUUCUCUCACAUUUCUGGAGGCAAGAAAUCUGAAAUCAGGGUGUCAGCCAGCAGGGCCUUGCCCCUCAGAACCCUCUAGAAUAGGUAAUUUCUUUGUCUGUCUCAGUUUCUGGUAGCUCCAGGAAUUCCUUAGCUUAUGGCAGCUUGUGGAAUUCCUGUUGCAGCUUCAUUUUUUAAGGACACAAGGCAGGAAAGGGGAAGGGCAACUCCACACGUGUCUGUCUUCUUAUCUUGAAUUGCAAAGCUGUCCCAGUACCUUACCACCUACUUGCUUCUCUAGCAGAUUCUCUUCCAUAUUAUUUAAGCCACUGGGUCACUCCAGGUUACAAAGGUUUAGACCCAAAUAAUUGGUUUCAGUAGUUUGUUCUCAUUACAAUUGCAUAUGUAAAAAAUACUUUUUGAUAAAGCAACUGAAACUUUGAAGUUGAUAAUUUAUCACAAUACUUUUUUCCCCAUUAUAUCAACACUUGGCAAACUACAGACUGUGAGCCUAAUCCAGGUUGUAUUUCCUUCUGUGAGUAAAUUUUCAAUGGCGGAGCCAUGCUCAUUUAUUUACUUACUGUCUGUGGCUACAAUGGCAGAGUAAAGGUAAGCGUGUUAGAAAGAGAGGAUGGGGCUGCUGGACUUCAUUGAGAGGAUCUUUUGAUUUCAGAAACCAUUAGUGAAGGAAAGGUGUACUAGACAGAGCUGUCAUAACCUUUUUACUAUUUCUUAAGAGAAGUGGUACCUCUGAGAGUUGUGUAACAUGGUGGUCUUCCCACAUCUUUAUCAAGAGAUUAAUUAAGGUUGUGAAGUAAAGCUUUAGAGGUGAGGCACAAAAGGCAAGCAGUGUUUACCUCUAAUCACUCGAGGUAACCUUUAUAUUGGAAGAUCAGUGUAGAUGUAUUGUGUACCAGAUAACAUUCCAUUAUGUAACUAUUCUUUAUUUACUUCCUCUACUGUAUGUGUGGCAUCAUUCCAGCAUCAAGUUUAAUCCUUCUUUGUAUGCAUUUAUUGUAAACUGUCAUUUAUGUGGGAUUAAAAUAACUGGAAAGCCUAAAUAACUGGAAUUCUUGUAGCAUGUUUGGUACUUGACAUUUAAAAGAGAGACAGAUGGCAAGUAAACAAGUUAAAAUGAAGAUAAAGAGCCUUGAAAAAUGGCUGAUGCUAAUAGUUCAUGGAGAUUAAUAAGUGAUAUGUGAAAGGCAGACUGUCCUGUAGUUGCAAAAUGUUACAUAGUUUGUACACCUUGUCAGCGUUGUGAUAACAUGAAGUCAUAGUUUAAUUGGUAAACAAGAAAAGCUUCCAAUAAAGUGUCCCAUGGAUGAUCUUUUCCUUUGAGACUGCAGCAUUUCUGAAGAAUAUAGGGUAUCUUGUGAUACAGCAAGUACUUGUCACAGUUUCUGUUUCUUCGUUUUCUUCACCACUGUCACCACAGUGCCUACUUCAUUUCCAACACGGUGUAGGUACUCAAUACAGAUUGAAGGAAUGAAGGAUAGAUAAUGCACUCAUCUUGAGCUACAUCCUAUUUAGUGAGCACCAUAAAACUUGGCAGGCAUUGUUAGACCUUUAUAUGGACAAGAGCUUUGAUGUGGACAUUAAAAUUUCAAAAUUGCUAUAACAGAGGUGCUGUUGGGGUAGUUUCUUAGUUGUAUAUGGGUCGUAUAUUGUAUAUGGGAAUCUUUUUAUGGUACACAUCUGUUUUCAUCAAAUAGGUUCUCAUUUCUACUUGAGGGAAGCUCACAAUUUUCAGGAAUCACGGAGGAUGGCAUUUGAGCCCGCCUGGCGGUCUGAGCCCACCUGGAGAUCCCCAUCCUUUCAAUGGGGAAAUGUAUUUGAGCUAUUCCCCAAGCUAAUGCUCAGGUAGGAGAUACAGGCAGGAAAAGAUGUCAUGGAAGAUAUUUUAAAGGAAUGGGAGUAUACGCCUAGCUUAGAAUACAAUAUGUGAAAGCAUAUUGUAUUGUGGUUCUUUGGUGCUGGAUAUCUCAGGAGUGGAGGAAUUGAAGGAUUGUGUUUUCAUUUUUACACUUUUUCUCUUCUGCUCUUCUGAUUUUUCAACCAUGAACAUGGUUAUGUGUAUGGUCUGGUUUGGGG